UUUAAUUAAACAAAAAGGGGGAGAUGCUGAGAGCCACGGCCGAGUCUGUAUGGCCCCUGGCAUUUUGCCAACAGUAUUGAUUGACAGGCGAGGCAUUACUAUCUGCCUCUGCCGCAACUUUUGAGUUCUCGCACUAUUUUGUUGUUCUCAUGGGGAUUUCCGGGGAUUCCCCGAGAGUUCCCAUUGGUUGGGGAAGUGCAGGAGGAGGGAUUUCCGGGAGAGAUAUUUCCGGCUGGGGGUUCCUGGACAAGCCUCCUGGCGCGUUCGGGAGGAUUCCCCGGGAGCUGUGUGAAGUGUUUUCCUGCAGUUUAAAAAUAAAGUUUGUUCCUGCUUCAGUGGCUCCUGAUUUGUGCCCAGCCAGACUGCGGCAAUAUAUUGCUUGUAUCCAUGUUGAAGUGUUUCCCCUAUGUUUUCUUCUAGUUAAUUUAGGGUUUCAGGUCUGGCAGUAAGGUUUCUGAGCCAUUUUGAAUUGAAUUUUCUACAGGUGAGAGAUAAGGGUCAAGCUGCAUCUUCUGCAUGCUACAUUUAUUGAAAAGGCUCUCCUUUCUCAACCAUAAGUUUGGAUAACUUUGUUGAGAAUCAGUCAAUUGUAGUUGUAUGGGUUUUUGUCCCUCUCUCCCCCCAGGGAUCUCCAUUCUCUUCCAUAGUUCUGUUUGAUUUCUUUUUUAAAGAAAAGACAUUAAUUAUUUUUUAUAAAUUUUAUGAUAAGUACAUACAUUUGGUUAUUAUUAGUGCCAUAAUAUUCAUACAUCAUAAUAUUAAUAUUACAAAACUAUAAUAUUAUUUUUUAAAUUUAUGUGUUUAUUCUAAUUAGGUAUAUAUGAGGGCAGAAUGCAUUUUGAUUUAUUGUACACACAUGGCACAGAGUUUUUCAUUUCUUUGGUUGUACAUGAUGCAUUAUCAUGCCUUAUGUGCAGUCACACAUGUACUUAGGGUAAUUAUGUCCAUCUCAUUCCACAAUCUUCCCUGCUCCCAUGCCCCCUCCCAUCCCCUUCCUCCUCUUUACCCAAUCAAAGUUCUUCCAUUUCUCCCAUGCUCCCAACCCCCCAUUAUGGAUCAGCAUCUACUUAUCAGAGAGAAUUUUCAGCCUUUGGUUUUUUUGAGGUUGGCUUGCUUCACUUAACAUGAGAUUCUCCAACUCCAUCCAUUU
rnacentral:lncRNA from 1 species